AGAGGAAGGUCCCCCACACUGGUACUGAGACACGGACCAGACUCCUACGGGAGGCAGCAGUGAGGAAUAUUGGUCAAUGGGCGGGAGCCUGAACCAGCCAAGUCGCGUGAGGGAUGACGGCCCUAUGGGUUGUAAACCUCUUUUGCCGGGGAGCAAAGUGCCGCACGUGUGCGGUUUGGAGAGUACCCGGAGAAAAAGCAUCGGCUAACUCCGUGCCAGCAGCCGCGGUAAUACGGAGGAUGCGAGCGUUAUCCGGAUUUAUUGGGUUUAAAGGGUGCGUAGGCGGACGCUUAAGUCAGCGGUAAAAUUGCGGGGCUCAACCUCGUCGAGCCGUUGAAACUGGGUGCCUUGAGUGGGCGAGAAGUACGCGGAAUGCGUGGUGUAGCGGUGAAAUGCAUAGAUAUCACGCAGAACUCCGAUUGCGAAGGCAGCGUACCGGCGCCCAACUGACGCUGAAGCACGAAGGCGUGGGUAUCGAACAGGAUUAGAUACCCUGGUAGUCCACGCAGUAAACGAUGAAUGCUAGUUGUCCGGGGCGAUUGAGUUCUGG
rnacentral:rRNA from 1 species